rnacentral:rRNA from 1 species
CCCUUAGAUGUCCUGGGCCGCACGCGCGCUACACUAACAUGUUCAACAAGCCUCCUAGUUCGACAGGAUUUGGGAAAUCUUUGAACGCAUGUCGUGAUAGGGAUAGAUCAUUGCAAUUAUUGAUCUUGAACGAGGAAUUCCUAGUAAACGCGAGUCAUCAGCUCGCAUUGAUUACGUCCCUGCCCUUUGUACACACCGCCCGUCGCACCUACCGAUUGAAUGUUUCGGUGAAGAUUCCGGAUAGGACUUUUUUGAUUUAUUUCAAUUCUGUCUUAAAAGCUAUCUAAACCUCAACAUUUAGAGGAAGGUGAAGUCGUAACA